AGCUAAUUCGCGUUGACUGCACUGUUUUUGACGUUUCGUGUGCGUGAAGCCAGUGGUAAACAAACGGUUCAUAUAAUUAUUAAUUUUUUGCAAGAUUUUGCUCGUUUUUCAGAACUUUUUGAUUACAAUGGCAUCUAACGAUGAAAUCCAUUCGACGUGCGCGGUGAAAUCACAGCUCGCUGACAUUCUUCAGUAUGUCGCAGGAGGAAGCAGGCUUAUAAUCGGAGGUGAACGGGUAUUCAAAGCCAACCAUCUGCUUCUCGUGGGAGUUCAAACUGUGCAUGCGGACGGCCUAUCCGUGUUUGCAACUUGCUUGAAAUCAUCUUCACCCAAGUCAGACCCACACAAAAUUUCUAUCCGGACCAGGCCGGUAUUUCAAAAUUGGUCCUUGCAUUGCUUAUGUAAGGCCGGGAUGGGAAAGUGUAAGCACGUCAUGGCUGUUUUAACCACCUAUUAAUGUUUCCUUCGAUUCCUUUACUAACUACAACAGACGUGCAGCAGAAAUGGGGUAAAAUUGCCGAAAAAGUUGCUGCUGAUAUAUACAAGGCCACUAUGUUAACUUCAUAUUGCAAGAAGUCGAAGAUAACCGAAAAUCCGUCUCAAGCUCAUACUUCUAUGGCAUCGGCUGCUGCACCAAUGGAUUUAACUAGAGAAGAAAAUGCCAAUAUUCUCCAUAUUUUUGUAGAUAGUUAGAUAUUAAAGCAAUAAUCAAAAUUGUGUGUUAGAUGUAACACUUCAUCAAAAAUUUUA